ACUCCUACGGGUGGCUGCAGUGGGGAAUAUUGGACAAUGGGGGCAACCCUGAUCCAGCAAUGCCGCGUGUGUGAAGAAGGCCUUAGGGUUGUAAAGCACUUUCGUUAGUGAAGAAAGGUUUAUGGCUAAUACCUAUGAAUUUGACAUUAGCUAAAGAAGAAGCACCGGCUAACUCCGUGCCAGCAGCCGCGGUAAUACGGAGGGUGCAAGCGUUAUUCGGAAUGACUGGGCGUAAAGCGCACGCAGGCGGUUAUUUAAGUCAGAUGCGAAAGCCCCGGGCUUAACCUGGGAAUUGCAUUUGAAACUGGGUAACUAGAGUAUGUCAGAGGAAGGCGGAAUUUCCAGUGUAGCAGUGAAAUGCGUAGAGAUUGGAAGGAACACCGAUGGCGAAGGCAGCCUUCUGGGGCAAUACUGACGCUCAUGUGCGAAAGCGUGGGUAGCAAACAGGAUUAGAUACCCUGGUAGUCCACGCCCUAAACGAUGUCAACUAGGUGUUGGGCACUUAAGUGCUCGGUACCGCAGCUAACGCAUUAAGUUGACCGCCUGGGGAGUACGGCCGCAAGGUUGAAACUCAAAGAAAUUGACGGGGACCCGCACAAGCGGUGGAGCAUGUGGUUUAAUUCGAUGCAACGCGAAGAACCUUACCAGGCCUUGACAUCCAGAGAACUAAGCAGAGAUGCUAUGGUGCCUUCGGGAACUCUGAGACAGGUGAUGCAUGGAUGUCGUCAGCUCGUG
rnacentral:rRNA from 1 species